CUUGGUCAUUUAGAGGAAGUAAAAGUCGUAACAAGGUUUCCGUAGGUGAACCUGCGGAAGGAUCAUUACAGUAGUCGCCCGGGUUGCCGCAAGGCCUCCCGGGUAACCUACCACCCUUUGUUUAUUACACUUUGUUGCUUUGGCAAGCCUGCCCUCGGGCUGCUGGCUCCGGCCGGCGAGCGCUUGCCAGAGGACCUAAACUCUGUUUGUUUAUACUGUCUGAGUACUAUAUAAUAGUUAAAACUUUCAACAACGGAUCUCUUGGUUCUGGCAUCGAUGAAGAACGCAGCGAAAUGCGAUAAGUAAUGUGAAUUGCAGAAUUCAGUGAAUCAUCGAAUCUUUGAACGCACAUUGCGCCCCCUGGUAUUCCGGGGGGCAUGCCUGUCCGAGCGUCAUUACAACCCUCAAGCUCAGCUUGGUGUUGGGCCCCGCCGCCCCGGCGGGCCCUAAAGUCAGUGGCGGUGCCGUCCGGCUCCGAGCGUAGUAAUUCUUCUCGCUCUGGAGGUCCGGUCGUGUGCUCGCCAGCAACCCCCAAUUUUUUUCAGGUUGACCUCGGAUCAGGUAGGGAUACCCGCUGAACUUAAGCAUAUCAAUAAGCGGAGGA
rnacentral:rRNA from 4 species